AGUGGGGAAUAUUGCACAAUGGGCGCAAGCCUGAUGCAGCCAUGCCGCGUGUGUGAAGAAGGCCUUAGGGUUGUAAAGCACUUUCAGUCGUGAGGAAAGGUGUGUGCUUAAUACGUACAUGCUGUGACGUUAGCGACAGAAGAAGGACCGGCUAACUCCGUGCCAGCAGCCGCGGUAAUACGGAGGGUCCGAGCGUUAAUCGGAAUUACUGGGCGUAAAGCGCGCGUAGGUGGAUUGGUCAGUCAGAUGUGAAAGCCCAGGGCUCAACCUUGGAACUGCAUCUGAUACUGCUAGUCUAGAAUACAGUAGAGGGUAGUGGAAUUUCCUGUGUAGCGGUGAAAUGCGUAGAUAUAGGAAGGAACACCAGUGGCGAAGGCGACUACCUGGACUGAUAUUGACACUGAGGUGCGAAAGCGUGGGGAGCAAACAGGAUUAGAUACCCUGGUAGUCCACGCCGUAAACGAUGUCUACUAGCCGUUGGAAGACUUGAUCUUUUAGUGGCGAAGCUAACGCGAUAAGUAGACCGCCUGGGGAGUACGGCCGCAAGGUUAAAACUCAAAUGAAUUGACGGGGGCCCGCACAAGCGGUGGAGCAUGUGGUUUAAUUCGACGCAACGCGAAGAACCUUACCAACUCUUGACAUCCAGAGAAGAGGCUAGAGAUAGCUUUGUGCCUUCGGGAGCUCUGAGACAGGUGCUGCAUGGCUGUCGUCAGCUCGUGUUGUGAAAUGUUGGGUUAAGUCCCGUAACGAGCGCAACCCUUGUCCUUAUUUGCCAGCACGUAAUGGUGGGAACUCUAAGGAGACUGCCGGUGACAAACCGGAGGAAGGUGGGGACGACGUCAAGUCAUCAUGGCCCUUACGAGUUGGGCUACACACGUGCUACAAUGGCCGGUACAGAGGGCUGCAAACCUGCGAAGGUAAGCUAAUCUCACAAAACCGGUCGUAGUCCGGAUUGGAGUCUGCAACUCGACUCCAUGAAGUCGGAAUCGCUAGUAAUCGUGGAUCAGAAUGCCACGGUGAAUACGU
rnacentral:rRNA from 1 species